AAUUCGUUUACGGUAGUGUUUCAAGAAGUUAUCAUAGCAGUACUGGAAAUGUUGAAAAUUAGAGAAAGACUGUUUAUUCUAAUUAAGAGCUUAUUUUUUAAGAUUGUUAUUGUGUCGUGAUCGCGUUUUGUUGACAAUCCGCCAUUCUUUUCCGAUUUUCAAAACCGGGUCUACCUUGGCAACCGAAGUUUGUCGCCAAAUCAAAAAAUAGCCAAAAGGGCCAAUACUAAACCUCUUCCGCUACUUGUUUGAAUUGUUGAAAUUUCAGUCUAAAAUUGAGACAGAGUGCAGUUCAUAACUUCUUGGCACUGCAGGGAGGGACAAACUAUUGGCUUAUAGGUGAUACAGGUUAUCCAUUGAAACCUUGGCUUUUGACACCAUACAUAAAUCCCACUUCAUACAUAUAAGAAAAUUAUAAUCAAAAACAUGCAGUAGCAAGGAACCAUGUGGAAAGAUGCAGUUGUGUACAUAAAUCAAAGUUUUGUUGCCUGCCUCAUCACAGUUUGUUGACGUACAGCCCAGCAUUAAGACUCCGAUAAAAUGAAAUGACUCGUCGUACACACUCGUUGCUAUCUGCCAUUGGAUCAGUAUUGUUUUGUUGACAUGUUUGUUGAUUGAUUUUGACCUAAUUUUGAGAAAAAUGGGUAGAUAUGCUGCAACAAAUUGUUCCAAUCAUUCAAAAAAUAACAUAAAACAUAUAUCAUUUUCGAAGAAAUGAAGAAAGACUAAGAAAAUGAAUAAUUAAUUCUUGUCGAGAUGAAUAGAUUCCCGGCUCAGGAGCGUGUCUUUGUGAGGUUCAGCGUCGUAGUUUUCCAUAGAAUGUUAGAAAAAUUAUUCUUCAUAUUUCUUCAAAAUAUGUGUUUUCAUUUAACCCUUUCCGGCACGCUACUCUUUAAAGUUGGAAUUUUACCAAAAAAAAUUUCUAGACAGUCUAAUUAGGCCUAGGAGAGUAUGCAGGUAUAAUUUUACAAAGAUUGCAGAAACCAUUUCCAUUUUAUGGGUAUGUCCGAAGCAAGCACACUGAGCCGCACGAGCUGCAAUAGGUGAACAUUGCUGUAAAGCACGUAUUAACAGUAAAAUACUUUGUCUAAGAUAUAAAAACAGUAGAAUCUGAUCUCUGUAGCACAUUUAGCAUAACCCAGGGUGCACCACGGGGAGGCCUGCUACUCUACAUCCCACAAAAAAAAAAAAAAAAAAAAA